UAAUUUAAUAAUAUGCUGUGGUAAAAGAUGUCAAAGUAAGUAAUUCAAUUAGAUGUGAUGAUUAUUGGAAGCUGAAAAGCUAAUUAAAUCCUUAAUUCACCGUGAUUUGCUUCCUUGUUUUACUUAGCAUAAUUAGCAGAUUGCCCCUCACAACUUGCUAUUUAACGGUUUUACAACGGUUUUUGUUUAAAGACGACAAUUUGUCCGUUAACUUAUUUCAUGUUUAACAUUUUAGUUUUGGGUUAAUUGAAUUAUUUUUUUGAAUUUACAAAAUCUUUACCAAUCAUUCAGGACUUUGUAUAACGAUUUUAUAGACCUCACUAAAAAUUCAAUGGUGAACCUGCUAUUUUCUUGGUCUGUUUUAUGUUGUGGACGUUUUUUUCUCGAUCAAAGGCUGAGCAAACUUGUCGUCAACAAAUUUUUCAAAUGACUUGGAUGGUAAAUUAAAUUAGACUAAUAUUAUUAACACAGUAAACUAUGAAAAUAAUGGUGAUGAAGUUAAAUAUUUGCAAUGAUCAUCAAGCGUAACGGUAAAGAAAAGGAGAGAAGCAAGGUAACCUAAUGAUGCAUUUCGAGACAAAAGCCAGGUAAAGUUGCAAGAAAUAAACUGGUAAUGAUGAUGAACGCAAAAGGAGAAAAGGCACAAGUGGAAAGUGAAAAUAAACAGAAACCAACAAGGAGGAGGGAAAAGCUGAUGAUGUUGAUGCUGAUAAUGAUGAGGGAAAGGAGGCCAAAAAAAAGUAGAGGGAGAAUCAGAGAAGUGCUUUUAUAUUGAUAGUUUGAUAUCAACCAACCAUAUAAGAAAGGCAA